rnacentral:tRNA from 1 species
ACCUCGGUAGUGUAAUGGAUCAGCACGGCAGACCGGAUACCUGUAAGUGCAGGUUCAAAGCCCGCCUGAGGUU